rnacentral:rRNA from 1 species
UACGUAGGAGGCAAGCGUUGUCCGGAUUUACUGGGCGUAAAGAGCGUGUAGGCGGUUCGUACAGUCCGCUGUGAAAUCUCCAGGCUCAACCUGGAGUAGUCGGUGGAAACUAGCGAACUUGAGGACGGUAGAGGGGGGUGGAAUUCCCGGUGUAGUGGUGAAAUGCGUAGAGAUCGGGAGGAACACCAGCGGCGAAGGCGGCCCCCUGGGCUAUGGCUGACACUGAGGCGCGACAGCGUGGGGAGCAAACAGG